rnacentral:miRNA from 1 species
UUCUCGAGGAAAGAAGCACUUUCU